AAAUCAUUUUCCCUCCCACAUAUUUAACUCUCCCUCCAAUUUCUAAUUGGACCAAAAAAAAAACAAUUCAUAAACAAUAUAAUAACUCUCAGCUCAGAAAUCAUAAUCUAAGAAACUCGCAACUCCCAGCUGACAGUUCACAAACUCAGAAACUCGCAACUCUCAGCUCAGAAUUUUUUUCAUCACAAGAUUCUCAGUUUUCGAUUUCUUCCAACUCAUGAUUUCUCCCAAUUUCUUUUUUUGUAUGAAUGAUCCGUACAAAGAAGCAGAUGAUGCCCUAAUUGGACUGAAUUUUUGUUGGAAAUUUCUGCACUAAUUUCAGUCUUUGUCAGUUUCAAUUAUUGAAAUUUCCUUAUUUUGCACUUUACACACAGUGUUUCACAGAAGAUCUAGGUUUUCAUCACAUUUGAAGGAUUUUGUGGAAUAUAAGUAGUUUAUAAGGUAGAAAUUUAUAUCUUUUUAAGAACUGGGUUUAUUUCAUGAGGGGAAACAUACCCUUUUUUAAUUGAGUAACUAAAAAAAUAUUUGGGUUUAUUACAUGUUUGUUUUUGUGUUUGUUUAUUAGUGGGUUUACAUAUUUAGCUUGUGGGUUUUGAUUUUCUUGUGUUGUUAAUCCAUUGCUAGAUAAAUCCAUAUUCCGAUGCUCUUUUAUACUGGUGUGAUUACUAAUAGAUAGUGUCAGUUAUUCUAGGUGUCAGACACUUUGUUUAGUUGGGUGGAUUUACAAGCAAAGUUAAACAGCGAGUUGCUAUGAAACUUGGGCAAUUUCGUCAAUAGAGUCCUGAGUUUCAUUGCAAAAGAUCCGGUGACUCUGAUACAUGUACUAGAUGACAUGGUUUGUUAUGCUGUUUCAUUUUUCUGUUACUGGUAUUGUCUACUUGACUCCUUUUCUGGUUCAUUAAUGAAUAUUACCGCUUCUCUUUCUUGGGAGUCAGUAAAAUAAUCUGCCUACCACCUUAAAUUGUAAUGCUAGUAUAUCAUCGACAUGAGAAAACUGGAAGGAAAUAUUUCUUGCUUCUUUCCUUGAAAGAUAAAAAGGGGACAAGUUCUUGGCAGAAAAAUGUUUUCCAUUGGAAACGUGCCUUGGUUCUUUCAUGGUUAAUUUGGAAAUAUCUUUCUACUAGUCACACAUUUGAAACAAGGUAUCUUGCUACUAGUAUGUCUAUGAUAACUCAAAGGAAAGAGUCCUGUUUCUUCUAAAAAGGAUAGAGAGGGAACUGAAAUUUGUUGUUUGUUUUGCAUCAAGAACAUUUAGAUUUUAAAUUAGAAAAUGACUGAAACUUGGUACAGCUUCAGGUUAUGGUUCUGUUAUUCCCAAUCCUGUAGGAGAUGAAUCACACCCUUUAACUAGGGCCCUGGGUGAAAAGGUUGGACAUUAUGUGGAGCAAUAUGUAGAAGCCAUGGAGAAGGUUAAAUUAAAGCAAGGUUUGAAGAUUGUGAUGUCCAUUUCUGGAGAAGGAAAUGGUUAUUUGCAAUGCUGAAACUCCCAUCGGGUCCUAACAGGCCUCUGCCAUACCUACUUACUUUGGUUCCUCCGCUGAUACUUUCACUGCUAGAUCUAUUCUUCAAAGCAUUGGAUUUUACUGGAACAUAUGGAGUGUUUUAGGAGGCGGGAGCGUGAGGCGAUGCGUUUUACAUACCACGGGGCAAGGCGUAAGUCUCAAGGUCAGGACGGAGCCACCUUGUACUAAAGCUAAGACAGGAGCAAGUAAGACUGCUAACACAGGAAGGUUGAGAGACAUAGAAGACCUCAUACACCACUUCCUUAUAAUUGUGUUAAGAGCACUCAAUGCACCGGAAGGAUGGAUGGCAGGAAAACUGCGGGUGAUCAAAUUUUAGUGGUGGCCACCACAAGUGAUCAAGUCGAUCUAGAUUGAAACGGAUGAUGAACUUUUUGAGCUAUUCGGAUAUAUGUUUAAAUACAUUUGGUUUUGUGUGGAACUUAGUACAAAUCUUUAAAAUGUUAUUUUCUAAUUAGUAUGUGUAGUAAAAGACAUGUUUUUUUGAAGUUCAUUGCAAAUCUAUGUAUUUGAAUUAUUUAUUAGCUAGUUGGUGCGUGAGAUUAUAUAUAUGUAAUGUGAUUAGUGAUGUAUACAUUCGGACAAAAAUAAUUAUUAUUUAGGCUUAAAGCCUUUUCUG